rnacentral:rRNA from 1 species
AAACGACUCUCGGCAACGGAUAUCUCGGCUCACGCAUCGAUGAAGAACGUAGCAAAAUGCGAUACUUGGUGUGAAUUGCAGAAUCCCGUGAACCAUCGAGUUUUUGAACGCAAGUUGCGGCCGAAGCCAUCCGGUUGAGGGCACGCCUGCCUGGGCGUCACG